rnacentral:rRNA from 1 species
GAGUUUGAUCAUGGCUCAGAUUGAACGCUGGCGGCAGGCUUAACACAUGCAAGUCGAACGGAAGCUACUAGCUUGCUAGUAACUUUAGUGGCGAACGGGUGAGUAAUAUUUAGGAAUCUGCCUCAUAACGGGGGAUAGCUCGGGGAAACUCGAAUUAAUACCGCAUACACCCUACGGGGGAAAGGUGGCGCAAGCUGCCGAUAUGAGAUGAGCCUAAAUCAGAUUAGCUAGAUGGUGGGGUAAAGGCCUACCAUGGCGACGAUCUGUAACUGGUCUGAGAGGAUGAUCAGUCACACCGGAACUGAGACACGGUCCGGACUCCUACGGGAGGCAGCAGUGGGGAAUAUUGGACAAUGGGCGAAAGCCUGAUCCAGCCAUGCCGCGUGUGUGAAGAAGGCCAUAAGGUUGUAAAGCACUUUAAGCAGGGAGGAAGAACUUUUAGUUAAUAGCUAAAAGUGGUGACGUUACCUGCAGAAUAAGCACCGGCUAACUCUGUGCCAGCAGCCGCGGUAAUACAGAGGGUGCGAGCGUUAAUCGGAAUUACUGGGCGUAAAGCGAGCGUAGGUGGUUGAUUAAGUCAGCUGUGAAAUCCCCGGGCUUAACCUGGGAAAGUCAGCUGAUACUGGUUAACUAGAGUAUGUGAGAGGAAAGUAGAAUUCCAGGUGUAGCGGUGAAAUGCGUAGAGAUCUGGAGGAAUACCGAUGGCGAAGGCAGCUUUCUGGCAUGAUACUGACACUGAGGUUCGAAAGCGUGGGUAGCAAACAGGAUUAGAUACCCUGGUAGUCCACGCCGUAGACGAUGUCUACUAGCCGUUGGUUACCAAGAGUAGCAAGUGGCGCAGCAAACGCGAUAAGUAGACCGCCUGGGGAGUACGGCCGCAAGGUUAAAACUCAAAUGAAUUGACGGGGGCCCGCACAAGCGGUGGAGCAUGUGGUUUAAUUCGAUGCAACGCGAAGAACCUUACCUGGUCUUGACAUAGUAGGAAUCCUGCAGAGAUGUGGGAGUGCCUUCGGGAAUCUACAUACAGGUGCUGCAUGGCUGUCGUCGGCUCGUGUCGUGAGAUGUUGGGUUAAGUCCCGCAACGAGCGCAACCCUUAUCCUUAGUUACCAUCAAGUGAAGUUGGGGACUCUAAGGAGACUGCCAGUGACAAACUGGAGGAAGGCGGGGACGACGUCAAGUCAUCAUGGCCCUUACGACCAGGGCUACACACGUGCUACAAUGGUAGGUACAGAGGGUCGCUACACUGCGAAGUGAUGCCAAUCUCAAAAAGCCUAUCGUAGUCCAGAUUGGAGUCUGCAACUCGACUCCAUGAAGUCGGAAUCGCUAGUAAUCGCGGAUCAGAAUGUCGCGGUGAAUACGUUCCCGGGCCUUGUACACACCGCCCGUCACACCAUGGGAGUCUAUUGCACCAGAAGUAGUUAGCCUAACGCAAGAGGGCGAUUACCACGGUGUGGUCGAUGACUGGGGUGAAGUCGUAACAAGGUAGCCGUAGGGGAACCUGCGGCUGGAUCACCUCCUU